GACGAACGCUGGCGGCGUGCUUAACACAUGCAAGUCACGGGGGCCCGCAAGGGUAACCGGCGAACGGGUGCGUAACACGUGAGCAAGCUUCCGAUUAGUGGGGGAUAGCCGGCCUAACGGCCGGGUAAUACCGCAUACGACCACUGGGUGGCAUCACCUGGUGAGGAAACCUCCGGGGCUAAUCGAGGCGCUCGCGGCCUAUCAGCUAGUUGGCGGGGUAAUGGCCCACCAAGGCUAUGACGGGUAGCUGGUCUGAGAGGAUGGCCAGCCACAUUGGGACUGAGACACGGCCCAGACUCCUACGGGAGGCAGCAGUGGGGAAUAUUGCGCAAUGGACGAAAGUCUGACGCAGCGACGCCGCGUGUGGGAUGAAGCCUUUCGGGGCGUAAACCACUGUUGCCCGGGACGAAUCUCCCCUUUCGAGGGGAUUGACGGUACCGGGUGAGGAAGCACCGGCUAACUCUGUGCCAGCCGCCGCGGUAACAC
rnacentral:rRNA from 1 species